UACGGAGGGUGCAAGCGUUGUUCGGAUUUAUUGGGCGUAAAGCGCGUGUAGGCGGUUUCUUAAGUCUGAUGUGAAAGCCCUGGGCUCAACCCAGGAAGUGCAUUGGAUACUGGGAGACUUGAAUACGGGAGAGGGUAGUGGAAUUCCUAGUGUAGGAGUGAAAUCCGUAGAUAUUAGGAGGAACACCGGUGGCGAAGGCGGCUACCUGGACCGAUAUUGACGCUGAGACGCGAAAGCGUGGGGAGCAAAC
rnacentral:rRNA from 1 species